rnacentral:lncRNA from 1 species
GAGCUGAUUUACUCCUCACAAUUAACUCAUAAGGUUAGCACAAUUAGUAUCCCAGCUUUAGGGAUGACAAUUCAAGGUUAGAGAAGAUAAAUUGCUUAAGAUCACCUAACUAGUAUAUUGGAGAGCCUCGUUUUGAACCCACAACAAAUGGGAUCAACAUAUUGACAAUGAUGAGGGAAGACAUCAUAUAAGAACCAUUGGAAACAAAGGUUAAUGCUAGAAAAGAUAGUUCAAUUUGAAUGUGAAAGUAUUAUGCUGAAAUAUAUAUUUAAAGACUGUUACUCAGAGAUUAGAGAGGGCAGUGGACCUUUUUUUUUUUUUUUUUUUUUUUUUUUGGUCUUCUCAGAAAUGUAUUUCUCUAGGCUGGAUAAUUUUCUACUACUCUACACUUACCACGUGGUUCUGAUGGACCCUUAGUUCCAGUACCCUAUCUCCUUGACUAUGGUGAUUUCUCUGGCAACAGUCUCUUAAAGCAGAACCAAUUGCAGCACUUACAUUACUUUCUGAACACAACUGACAAGAAAGAGUUUAUUUCCUCUUAGAUAACUACACUGCAGAAAUAUGAAUAUGAAGUAGCCUGAGACCAUGCUCCUUACUACACAAAGUUAGCUUGUGUGUAGAAGACGAGAAUGAAGCUAACAUAGAAAGGAAUCAAGAGAUGGGAAGAGAGAUCUGACAGCUUACCUUUCCAUGGAUUCACUUGUCUCCCAGAUGAGCUUUACCCCUUCUUUUUUACCAGGUUACUUACAUAUGCCAACAAACUCUCCUUGUUAAUUUAAACUCACUUUAAAAGCCCUAAAGAAUAGAAGUUGACACAAUAAGAGGUCUGUACCAUUUACAGGGUUUGGAGAUCAUGGAGAACCAUAUUAGAAAAAUAAGAUAAAUAGAAGAUCUGAGAGACAUCAUGAAGAAAGUAUCCACACAACUUUGAAACAGGAUGACCUUGACAGGAUAAAGAAGAACAGAGAUUCCAAGUUCAAGAGAGAAGCAAGAGAUGGGGUCUCACUAUGUUACCUGCUACCAAGACUGGUCUUCAGGGUCUCGAAUGACCCUCCUGCCUUCGCUUCCCAAAAUUUUGGGAUUACAGAUAAGAGAGCUCAGUGAUAUGAAAGGUGCUCAAUAUCUGGCACAUAGAAGAUGCUCAGUAAAUGGUGAAUAUUCUUAUGUGGAUUUCAAAAAAAACAAACAAACAAACAAAAAAGAAUGGAGUUUGGAGGACUAG